rnacentral:piRNA from 1 species
UGACAUUCCACUACACUGGGGCAUCAAGC